UGGGCUAUCGGCACCAACUCCAUAUUAUAUUGGAGAAGAGAGCUCCAGAGAGUGUCAUUUGUGGAGAGAUUUAUAUUCCAUCUCCCACAUCUCUAAAUUUCUCCUCAUAUAAUUUUUGUUGCAGCCUUUCACAUAGCUAUGCUGAGUAAAAGAACCCAUCCCAUGAUCGGAAGAUUAUCAGAAUUAUUGGUUUCCGGCAACCCGUUAGGAUUCUUGGAUGUUUCCACUAGUCCAAGUCCAAGAAGUCCGUUGGAGUACAGAAUUCAAUCACCUAGAGGUCUAAAGAAUUAUGAUCUUGGUGGGGUUGGAUUGGGUAUUGUUGCUGCCCUUGAGAAGUCUAGAAGUGAUGGAGGACAUGAAAUUUUAGCAAAAUAUGCAAUUUGCAGUCCAAAUAUGAAUAGGUCGGAUCCUAUUCCUGUUAAAAAAUGUGAGAGGUGCAACUGUGGUGUCAAGGAAAUGGAGAUUGAGAGCUUGGAGGAUUAUACUUAUGUCACAAGCCAUGGACCUGACAAGUCCUUGACUAAAGUGUAUUAUGAUGAUGGAAAUAAAAAAGGGCGCGAUAGAAUUGGUGUUGAUGUUGUUUCUAUACCUAGAGAAUCGCCGGCGAGAUUUGUCGAUGAGUUUGCUAUGUAUCCCACUUCAGAAUUUCUCAGCUCUUGUCACUUGUGCAGGAAAAGGCUCCAUGGCAAAGACAUAUAUAUGUACAGGUAUAAUACAACUUGUAGUUCUCAUCUUUCUUGCUUAUAUUGGAAUUUUGAUUAUAUUAUGACGAGGCCAAAGGAGAUGCUCCUCAUGCUGGUGUUUCUUGAUUUGGUACGAACAAGUAGGAGAUUUUAAUGUUUUGCAUUGGAUUUUUUUACAGGGGAGAAAAAGCUUUCUGUAGCAUGGAGUGCAGAUCAAGACAAAUAAUGAUGGAUGAACGCAAAGAACAGUGCAGAUCAGAGAUUCCCAGAUCUGCAGAUGUUACAAGCUCACCUUAUACAACGAGCCCCAUCUUCUCAACUGGAAUUCUUGCCAUUUGAACUUAUAAAAUCAUAUGUUUUCAUGGCUGAAACACCAGUAAUCACCCACUGCUAUACCUCCAACAUAAUUAUAUAGAUUUAUAUAUAGUAAUCAUGUAUACAUAUGAGAAUUUAUCGGCUCAAUAUUGAA
rnacentral:misc_RNA from 1 species